CCUACGGGGCGCAGCAGUCGAGAAUCAUUCACAAUGGGGGAAACCCUGAUGGUGCGACGCCGCGUGGAGGAAUGAAGGUCUUCGGAUUGUAAACCCCUGUCAUGUGGGAGCAAAUUAAAAAGAUAGUACCACAAGAGGAAGAGACGGCUAACUCUGUGCCAGCAGCCGCGGUAAUACAGAGGUCUCAAGCGUUGUUCGGAAUCACUGGGCGUAAAGCGUGCGUAGGCUGUUUCGUAAGUCGGGUGUGAAAGGCGAGGGCUCAACCCGCGGACGGCACAUGAUACUGCGAGACUAGAGUAAUGGAGGGGGAACCGGAAUUCUCGGUGUAGCAGUGAAAUGCGUAGAUAUCGAGAGGAACACUCGUGGCGAAGGCGGGUUCCUGGACAUUAACUGACGCUGAGGCACGAAGGCCAGGGGAGCGAAAGGGAUUAGAUACCCGAGUAGUC
rnacentral:rRNA from 1 species